rnacentral:lncRNA from 1 species
GAAGUGUUAGCUUUUGUUGACUUUCGCUCAUUGACAUGUAGGAAUUUUUCUUUUAAUUUAUUCACGUAGCAUUCGUCGAUACGAACGUAUGGGCGAUAACGAAAUCAAAUUCAGAGCUAAACUGAAGUUUCUACGAAUUUUUAAACGUUAAGUGCAUUUUGGUAAUUUCACAAAUGGAGAUAUUUCUCCAUCUUGGGCCACUCAUGGGGUGACACGUGGUAGGAUUCCCCAUUUUCUGAGGAGUUCUUUUUGUCCCGAGCUCUCUCUCUCUCUAUUAUUUUCUCCAUCAUCUUCUUCUUCUCACUCACCUUUCACUCUUUCUCUCCCUCUCUUGGUCAAACCACAUACACACACACACCUACACUCUUGUCACCACCAUCACUAGCACCUUGGCACUUCGGUGAGCUCUUGAAAGGGAUGAAACCACCACCAACUUCUCUUUUUCCUUUGCAUAGUAGCCUUCACUGCGCAUCACUUUUCUCCGGCGAGUUCUUGCCAUUUUUGACGAACGUAUCCUUGAAAUUGGUCCCUAUCAUUGUAUAUCGUGUCUAGGUUCACGAUUAGUAAGUUUUUGGGUGGUUUUGGUGGUGUAGGAACUCAGAAAACACAAGGGAAAUCACUAUGCAAAAUCUAGAAUUUCAAAACCCUGAUCGUUUGGCCAUUUUCUAGC